CCUUUUUCACACCUGUCCAAGCUUUUUCUAUUUCCUUUUCGGUUAAAUUUUUAUUUUAUUUAGAUUUCAUAAAAAUGUUAAUCUUUAAUUUUGUUCUUUAUAUUACUCUCAAAUUUAAAAUAUAAUUUUCAAUUUCAUUAAUAAUUUAUAUAAAAAACAUGUGUGUAAUAACCUAAAUUCAUCCGGCCCAAAUAAGAAAUAAAUAAAAUAUAUAUAUAAAAUAAACCAAACCAAAAUUUAAAAGUCCACAGUCUAAAUACAUGGGCCCAACGUGGCCCAAAUCAUUUUAACCCAAUGUCUAGCCCAAAUUACCCACUAAGCCUAAUGCCCAUUAGCCAACCCUAGCCCGACGGGCCAACACCAAAGCAACACACAGAAACCUUAUGAGAUCUCAGCCGCCACAACAGUAGCCUCCCACACGCGCGCCUCCACGCCACGUUCCUCCGUACGGCCUUACCUGCAACAGACACAUAAAAAAUAAUAAGAGAAAAGCAGAGAAAAAGAAAAGAAAAUUAAGUUUGUAUUAUUUUUCAUUUUUGUUUUUUCUUUCGGGGGC
rnacentral:lncRNA from 1 species